UACGAAGGGGGCAAGCGUUGUUCGGAUUUAUUGGGCGUAAAGGGUGCGUAGGCGGUUUGGCAAGUCUUGUGUGAAAUCUUCGGGCUCAACCCGAAGCCUGCAUAAGAAACUGCCGGGCUUGAGUAUGGGAGAGGUGAGUGGAAUUUCCGGAGUAGCGGUGAAAUGCGUAGAUAUCGGAAGGAACACCUGUGGCGAAAGCGGCUCACUGGACCAUAACUGACGCUGAGGCACGAAAGCUAGGGGAGCAAACAGG
rnacentral:rRNA from 1 species